CCCUGGAGGACUAGUGGUUAGGCCACGGCGCUCUCACCACUGCGGCCCGGGUUCGAUCCCCCAGCCACUGGCG